rnacentral:rRNA from 1 species
AUGGGUAAACUCAUGAAGGCUUUUGGUAAGGACACUUCUGCUGCUUGUGUUGAAGAUUCUGAUGAUUCAGAUGGGGAUCCCUUUGUCCCCAAUGAUUUUGCUGAGGAUGAUCCUUUUCAAGCUUCAAAGGAAGGUCAAAUGGAUGAUCCUGAUUUAGAGAAAGCUUUGUAUGAGUUCUACAUGUCUCAUGCGAGCAUUACUAGCAGCAGCAGCAUUCCAGCCAUCACCUUGGGCGAGAUCCGUGUUGCCCAGUGUGCGGACGGGCUAGCGGCAAUGCUGGCCAUCGGCACGGAGAACCCGUCCCACUGCCUGCCACAGGGCAACUACCCCGAUUACUACUUCUGCGUCACCAACAGUGACCAACUCACUGACCUCAAGCAAACCUUCACCAAGCUAUGCGGGAUGACGGGCAUCAGCAUGCGUUUCUUCCAGCACAUCGACGAACUACACGCCACGCACCCGGACUUGUCCCUCGACGCCACCCUGGAAGUCAUGGCUACCGCCCCAGAGCUCGCCGCGUCAGCUGUGGUGAACACCAUCGCCGAGUGGGGCUGUACGGCGGGCUACAUCACCCAUCUCGUCGUCAGCACCAACGCGGGAUCGCAUGCCCUGGACACCGACGUACGCUUGGUCUCCCUUGGCCUCUGCCACGACGUCCUGCGCAACUGA